AAACCAACUGGGAUUACCUUAGUAACGGCGAGUGAAGCGGUAAAAGCUCAAAUUUGAAAUCUGGUACUUUCAGUGCCCGAGUUGUAAUUUGUAGAAUUUGUCUUUGAUUAGGUCCUUGUCUAUGUUCCUUGGAACAGGACGUCAUAGAGGGUGAGAAUCCCGUUUGGCGAGGAUACCUUUUCUUUGUAAGACUUUUUCGAAGAGUCGAGUUGUUUGGGAAUGCAGCUCAAAGUGGGUGGUAAAUUCCAUCUAAAGCUAAAUAUUGGCGAGAGACCGAUAGCGAACAAGUACAGUGAUGGAAAGAUGAAAAGAACUUUGAAAAGAGAGUGAAAAAGUACGUGAAAUUGUUGAAAGGGAAGGGCAUUUGAUCAGACAUGGUGUUUUUGCAUGCACUCGCCUCUCGUGGGCUUGGGCCUCUCAAAAAUUUCACUGGGCCAACAUCAAUUUGGCAGCAGGAUAAAUCAUUAAGAAUGUAGCUACUUCGGUAGUGUUAUAGCUUUUUGGAAUACUGUUAGCCGGGAUUUG
rnacentral:rRNA from 1 species